rnacentral:sRNA from 1 species
AAAAUCGAAAUGGAAGAUACCCAAAAAAUCGAAAUCGUGCACGGACACAUGCAGUAGCCGAG